CCUACGGGUGGCUGCAGUGGGGGAUAUUGCACAAUGGGGGGAACCCUGAUGCAGCGACGCCGCGUGGGUGAAGAAGCGCCUCGGCGCGUAAAGCCCUGUCAGCAGGGAAGAAAAUGACGGUACCUGAAGAAGAAGCCCCGGCUAACUACGUGCCAGCAGCCGCGGUAAUACGUAGGGGGCAAGCGUUAUCCGGAUUUACUGGGUGUAAAGGGGGCGCAGACGGCGAUGCAAGCCAGGAGUGAAAGCCCGGGGCCCAACCCCGGGACUGCUCUUGGAACUGGGUGGCUGGAGUGCAGGAGAGGAGAGUGGAAUUCCUGGUGUAGCGGUGAAAUGCGUAGAUAUUAGGAGGAACACCAGUUGCGAAGGCGGCUCUCUGGACUGUAACUGACACUGAGGCACGAAAGCGUGGGGAUCAAACAGGAUUAGAUACCCUUGUAGUC
rnacentral:rRNA from 1 species